rnacentral:lncRNA from 1 species
GCAGAAAAACACAAAAAAGAAUUGACAUGUCCCAUUUAACUUAAACUAUUCAAAGAUCCCUGCUUGACGCCCUGCAAACACAACUUCUGCUUCACCUGCCUCAGGCAGUUGGAGAGGGAGAACUAGCAUGUCCUUUCACUUGUUCCCAGUGUCUUGACAUCUCUUGGAUCCAGAGGAUCUAGACCAAUAUGGCCCUGGGGAAGCUAGUGGCUGAGAUCACAGUGAUGACACUUGUGACACUUGUGCUGAGCAUGUUCUGCAUGGAGUUCUAUGAAAAGAUGAGUCUGAAUGUGGCCACAAGUAAUAACCUCCUCAUAUUUUCUAAUGACCUGUGGAGCCUCUUAUGGAGAUAUGUCCAGAUGAGACCACCAGAGAAUGCCAAGACAUUAAUCUCUGUUCCUCCUGUCCUAGGGUCCUCGUGCUUCACCUCUGGCUGACAUUAUUAGGAGUUGAAAGUGGGAGAAAUAAAAAGAUGGAUUGCGGGUGUUUGCAGAGAAUCUGCAUUUCAUGAAGAACCUUUCCUAGUAUCAUCAGAUCUCUGGUUCUGAGUGGUGAGCCUCAAGAGCGUAUGUGAAGUCACUGCUAGCACAGAAACUAGGACGGUUCUCCAUGUGAGCCCAAACUUAGAAGUGGGGAUUUUCCUGGACUGUGACCUGAAAACCAUUUCAUUUUUCAACACGUCUGAUAGUUUCCAUUUAUUCACCU